UGGCGUCAGGACGAACGCUGGCGGCGUGCUUAACACAUGCAAGUCGAGCGAUGAAGCUCCUCGGGAGUGGAUAGCGGCGGACGGGUGAGUAACACGUGGGUAACCUGCCUCAUAGAGGGGAAUAGCCUUUCGAAAGGAAGAUUAAUACCGCAUAAGAUUGUAGUACCGCAUGGUACAGCAAUUAAAGGAGUAAUCCGCUAUGAGAUGGACCCGCGUCGCAUUAGCUAGUUGGUGAGGUAACGGCUCACCAAGGCGACGAUGCGUAGCCGACCUGAGAGGGUGAUCGGCCACAUUGGGACUGAGACACGGCCCAGACUCCUACGGGAGGCAGCAGUGGGGAAUAUUGCACAAUGGGGGAAACCCUGAUGCAGCCAACGCCGCGUGAGUGAUGACGGUCUUCGGAUUGUAAAGCUCUGUCUUUAGGGACGAUAAUGACGGUACCUAAGGAGGAAGCCACGGCUAACUACGUGCCAGCAGCUGC
rnacentral:rRNA from 1 species